AGCUCUGCGCCCUCGCUGGCCGGUGAGGCGGAGCGUGGGCACUGCCCGGCCUUGCUCCACACCCCGGGCCCCGCAUGGUGACUUCCCCUGGAGGCGAGGAGCCUUCUGCGGCCCUUCCACCAGUUUCUUCCGGGAACACCUCCCGGAGAAAGGCUCAGGGCUCUCCACGCCGGGUACCCCCACCCCCAGGUCGUCACGCCAGGGCGGGGUGCCUCCCCCUUCUCCCCUCCCCUCUCCUCUCCUGCCUCUGCUAAUAGGCCCCUGGAGUGUGGUCCUUACCAGGGGAGAGGUUUCACGCGUCUUUCGUUAGGAGAAAAAAGAAACCUUGAUACAAAUAACUGGAACUAGCUUCCUUCUGCACCCCAGUCUGAUGGCUGAGGUUUACUGGUAAUAACUGGGUGUGCAGAAACGCCUGCAGCAGCCACUUGGCCACGAGAGGGCAGAAGAGCCCUUCCUGAGGCCCUGGGCUGGGGAAGGAGGAGGAACCCCCAGACUAGCCGAGGGAGCUGGGGGUCUCAGACCUGGGCCUGUGCCUUUCCUGCCCUGGGAACUCCGUCUGCUUCUCCCCAUCCUGGCCCAGUUCCCCCAAAGAGGAGCAGCGGGACCCUCACCCAUUUGGCCUGGGGUCCAGGCAGCUGUGGUCGGAGUUGCUACUUUCAUCAUAAAUUAAGUUCCCUCAAAUAUAUGGUGCCGUCUCUGGUGUUCCAGUCCUGACCCUCACACCUCUUUGUCAAUUUCUGCGCAACAGCGGUGCAUUGGUUAUGAUGGCUUUACAGCAAAUCCCUUCUCCACGUCCUUUUAAAAGCGUUUCUCAGCUGAGCUUGCACACUUUCUUCUCCAUAUAAAGUUUAGAAUCCAUUGCCUGUAGCCAGUCCUGUUGGGAAUUUUAUCAGGAUUGCACCGAGUCUGUGGGCACACUUGGGAAGCUAACGUCGAUGUGAUCUGGUCUGGCUCCCAGAAGUUUGCUGACCCCUCUUCUAAUGUAUGAAGUGCAAUGCUCGUUGGAGGCUGAGGAAUUUUCCUACCAUUCUGAGCUUCCUGAAGGUCUGGUGGGUGUGCUUCAAACUCAGUACACCUGCCACCUUGAACACACGACUGGCAUCACCUCCUUACGAAGUGCCACUCAUAUUUCGCUCCCUGUGGAAUGAGUGCUGGUGUGGUGGGGACCGUGUCUGCCUCGCUCCUGACGCCUCCCCAGGGCCAGGUCAGAGGCCAGAGGCUGGCAGCAGAGGGCUCUGCAAACCCUCACGAGUGAGUGAACACCAUGGUGCCAUCUUUGAUGCGACUGCAAACACUGACUUCCCUCACCUGACUGGCCUGGCUGAGGAUCUGGGGAAUCCACAGGGUCUGGGGAUUCUGGCAGCCCCUCCUCCUGCGUGACUCGCCCUCCUGCCCUGGGCCUUCCGUGUCAAACCCCUCAGCUCAAUAAAUAAUGCUCCAAAGGUCUUGGCCUUUGAGAUGCCCU